GCAUGGGCGCGUGCUGAGUGUGCCGAGGCGCUGGGACCACAGCGGCAGCCUGCUGGAAGCUGCAUCCAGCCAGUCUCCGGGCUUCGCGAGCGGGGACCGGGCGCAGGGCGGCAGCCAGCCGCAGGACCUGGGAGACAGGGCUUCCUCUGCCGCCACUUCGGGGUUCUAGCAGCUCGGUGCUACAUCGCUGUCUCAAAAUGCAGAGGAUCUAAUUUGCCGAGGAGAACGGCCAAAGAAGGAAGAGGAGGAAAAGGGGGGAAAAAAAAGAAAGGGUAUUUUGUGGAUGCUCUACUUUUCUUGGAAAUGCAAAAGAUUAUGCAUAUAUCUGUCCUCCUUUCUCCUGUUUUGUGGGGACUGAUUUUUGGUGUCUCUUCUAACAGCAUACAGAUAGGGGGGCUGUUUCCCAGGGGCGCCGAUCAGGAAUACAGUGCAUUUCGGGUAGGGAUGGUUCAGUUCUCCACUUCGGAGUUCAGACUGACACCCCACAUCGACAAUUUGGAGGUAGCCAACAGCUUCGCAGUCACCAAUGCUUUCUGCUCCCAGUUUUCAAGAGGAGUAUAUGCUAUUUUUGGAUUUUAUGACAAGAAGUCCGUAAACACCAUCACAUCAUUUUGUGGAACGCUCCAUGUGUCCUUCAUCACUCCCAGCUUCCCGACAGACGGCACCCAUCCAUUUGUCAUUCAGAUGCGACCAGACCUCAAAGGAGCUCUUCUCAGCUUGAUUGAGUACUACCAAUGGGACAAGUUUGCGUACCUCUACGACAGUGACAGAGGCUUGUCCACCCUGCAGGCGGUGCUGGAUUCCGCUGCCGAAAAGAAGUGGCAGGUGACGGCCAUCAACGUGGGGAACAUCAACAACGACAAGAAGGACGAGACCUACCGCUCGCUCUUCCAGGACCUGGAGCUCAAAAAGGAGCGGCGUGUCAUCCUGGACUGCGAGAGGGACAAAGUCAACGACAUCGUGGACCAGGUUAUUACCAUUGGAAAACAUGUUAAAGGGUACCAUUACAUCAUUGCAAAUCUGGGAUUUACCGAUGGAGACCUAUUAAAAAUUCAGUUUGGAGGUGCAAACGUCUCUGGAUUUCAGAUAGUGGACUAUGACGACUCCAUGGUAUCUAAGUUUAUAGAAAGAUGGUCAACACUGGAAGAAAAAGAAUACCCCGGAGCACACACGACGACAAUUAAGUAUACUUCUGCUCUGACCUAUGAUGCCGUUCAAGUGAUGACUGAAGCUUUUCGAAACCUGCGGAAGCAGAGAAUUGAAAUCUCCCGAAGGGGGAAUGCAGGAGACUGUCUGGCAAACCCAGCUGUGCCCUGGGGACAAGGGGUAGAAAUAGAAAGGGCCCUCAAACAGGUGCAGGUUGAAGGUCUCUCAGGAAAUAUCAAGUUUGACCAGAAUGGAAAAAGAAUAAAUUAUACAAUUAACAUCAUGGAGCUCAAAACGAAUGGGCCACGGAAGAUCGGGUACUGGAGCGAAGUCGACAAAAUGGUUGUUACUCUCACCGAACUCCCUUCUGGAAACGAUACUUCUGGGCUUGAGAAUAAGACUGUGGUCGUCACUACAAUUUUGGAAUCUCCGUAUGUUAUGAUGAAGAAAAAUCAUGAAAUGCUUGAAGGCAAUGAGCGCUACGAGGGCUACUGUGUUGACCUGGCUGCAGAAAUAGCCAAGCAUUGUGGGUUCAAGUACAAGUUGACCAUUGUUGGGGAUGGCAAGUAUGGGGCCAGGGAUGCAGACACGAAAAUUUGGAAUGGGAUGGUUGGAGAACUUGUAUAUGGGAAAGCCGAUAUUGCAAUUGCUCCAUUAACCAUCACCCUUGUGAGAGAGGAGGUGAUCGAUUUCUCAAAGCCCUUUAUGAGCCUCGGGAUAUCAAUCAUGAUCAAGAAGCCUCAGAAGUCCAAACCGGGAGUGUUUUCAUUUCUUGAUCCUUUAGCCUAUGAGAUUUGGAUGUGCAUUGUUUUUGCCUACAUAGGGGUCAGUGUAGUCUUAUUCCUGGUCAGCAGAUUUAGCCCCUACGAGUGGCACACUGAGGAGUUUGAAGAUGGAAGAGAAACACAAAGUAGUGAAUCAACUAAUGAAUUUGGGAUUUUUAAUAGUCUCUGGUUUUCCUUGGGUGCCUUUAUGCAGCAAGGAUGCGAUAUUUCGCCAAGGUUGGUUACUCACCUGCUUCGACUUUGUGCAUUUUAGGUCUCGAGUGGACAUUCAUGGUGUUUAUGAAUUCACUGUAAAGAAGUUAGCAGCCGCCGACUGCCUGUCCAAACAGUGUAAGGCUCGUAAGGACAGACUCUUAGCAUCGGCAUAAGCCUGUGAAAUAUUUGAGCAAUGUUCUAUGAACGUUGAUCCUAUAUUUCCCUGGUGAGAUUAUACACACCAUGGAGAGGCUAUAAAAUGCAUAAGGUUCCUUUCAUUCCAUGCCUUCUUGGAGGGGUACCGUGUUUUUGCUGCAUAUUCUCAUUUUACAGUCAUCUGUGUGUUGAUCCACAGACCUGUAUAUGGGAAAAUGGGCGACAUUCCUUACUAAGUACAAAAGCGACAAAACUUCAUUUGCACACAUCUCAUCUCUCUCUCUUUUUUCUUUCCCCCCAUUAUUAGCUCACGGAAAUGACAUGAGAGAGAUAUUUAUAAAAUUUGUUUUUUUUUUAAAAAGGUUAGGUUGCUGGGUUAAAAAGAAUGUAUGAUAAUAUAUUUUCCAAGUAUCUAGAAAUAUAUAGGUGGGUAAUAAUGAUGGCUGAUUGUUACAAACGCUUGUGCCGUAUUGAAUAGUAAUACACACACAGGAUGGAAUAAAUUCAUACAUCUCUAUUCUCAUUAUGAUAUUUUAGUUCCUGCCCUAGAAUGCCUAAAUAUAAUGAAUAUAUCACAAAACAGACAUUGCCUUUAUUCAUGUCACAUACAUGAUUAAGAAUGAUAGCCAUGUCUGGUUCUUCAGAGGAAUAAAUCAUACUUUUCCUAAUGUGAUUGCUUUCACAUUUAAAGCCUAUAUGAUUAUCGAUCUACUGGCACAUUUUAAUUUGGGCUCAGUUACCCUCCUUUGAUUCUAUGGGUAUCUUAAUAACUAACAGAGGCAAUGGCUUCUUUAAUACUAUUUCAUUAUUGUUUUAGUUUUUGAGCACUUUGGGGAUAAGAAGUGAUUAAUUUCAAAAAACUAUAUGUGAAGCUCAAAAUUUUGUAUCUUCCACGAUCUCUUUUGUAUACUCCACCCAGCAAGAUAAAGGGAAUAUAUCAUGUAUGCAGAAAUUAUCAGUGACUUAACUUCUCAGAUAGCAGGGCACAUUCUUAUGAAUUUUAUGGAGCUGAACAAUCUUAAUUCCAUCAAAUUCCCUGUGGCUUCUCUAUGGAACUGCACUAAAUUAGAACUAUAUCAAUGGUACUUGCAUUGCAUAUAUAGAUAUAUAAUUUUAAUGUAUAACAUAUAAUAAUUAUUAUUACAUACUAUAUAUAUAUAUAUAAUUAGGACCUCUGACAAAACAUAUAAGAUUCAUAGUUUCAUCUCUAUAGUUUAUCUGAUUGAACUUAAAGACAUAAAGAGAAGUUUCUAAUGAUGAAGGAGGAAGAUACUAACCAGAUUGGAAUCUCAGAGAACAUUAUGGCUCAUAAAUAAUGAAGUGAUUCAUCUUUGGUAAGAAGGCUCCUGAAGUAUGAUGUUACCGUAGUCCUGAGAUAUCAGGCAGUUAUCCUAGGGUUCCACAAACUAUGCUCUGCCUUUUGAAUAAGCAGGAGAAGCAUGUGAAGGUUCAUUAGGACACAGGACAUAUUGACCUGGGUUCCCAUCGAUGGACCCGGGUUUGUUUGCCCCACUCCUCAUGCAUCAGGGCUCUGAAGGUAAUUGUUUUGGCGUCCAGUGCUUGUCUAGGAGCAGAAAACAUAUUGACACAUAGGAGAUGGAGGACAAGGGACAUUUAACAACCUGUGUUUUCCCAGAGUCCACCAUGACAUAGUGACAUUCCAAUUUUCAACAAGCCUGCUUCCUAAAAUAUUAUCUUUUUUCUUCACUUAUGAUUUCAUUCAUGAGUCAUGACUCACUAAACUUUCACAUGUAAUCAUUUUUAUUUCCUGGUAAGAUAUAUCAAUUUUAGAUAGCAUAUUUUUCCUUGUUAUCAUUUUUUUGGCCACAGAAUAUAUAUGAAUAGAUAUAUACGUAUAUAUAUAAGCAAAAUUCACUUUAUUAAAAUUUUCAAGCAUAUGUAUCUUUCACUUUAUGGUAUGUGUGCAUUUACCAAUUGAACUACCUAAUAUUGGCAAAUUCAAGGAUUUUUUAAAAAAUGAACCAGACUAUCAUUUUUUAGAAUGUAAUGAUGGUAACUCUAGAUUAGGAAAGAAUAGAGCAGCUUAGUAUCUAAAAUAACUUAAUAAUAAUGCAUGAAAUCCACAGAUCACUUUAGAGAUGCUCUUUAAAUACUUUAAACGAUAUUUAUCAACUUUUUCCAAGUAAAAUAUGAUAUGGAACGCUAUUAUUUAUAUGAAUAGAACACAUUUAAAUUUUAAUAUAGAGUGGUUUAUUGAAGUGAAUUGGUCAUUGCCUGAAAUUAAGUUUAGAAUAUGUUAACUAUAGUUUUGUGAAGACUAGGACCACAGAAUUAUGAGAGCAAAAUGUUGUAAAGUUGACUCUUAUUCUCCGGUUUUCUUCCUUUGUUUUUUGUUUUUUUCCCGCAAUAUCCUUAAAGGAUUCAAAUGAUUAAAAAAUUGCAUUUUUAAAAUAAUUAUUUAAUAGAGAUUAAAAAGAAAUGGCAGAAUAUGUGCAUUUAUUUGCUCCGUUAGUGCAGAUACUGAGAGAUGAAAGUUUUAUUUUUAAUUAGAAAAACAUUUUUGUCUGUCACCAUGAAACAUAAUAUUGAAUUUGCUCCUCUGCAUAAAAUUUCUCAGGAACUCAUUCAGAAUCAUAAUUGAUCCUUUGAAAACACUUACAAGUAAAUAAUAAAUUGCUCAAGAAUUUUCUAUUUUGAAUGAUGCACAAGUCAAAUAAAUUUUGUGGGUUAUCUCACACACUCUAAAUAAACUGGCAUAUUUAAUUAAAUUUACAACUAGAACAGAAUGACUUAUAAAAAUGAUUCUCAAAUAUAUUGCAAAUAAACCUGAAACGUAUAGUAUCAAAAUCAAUUACCAUGCAAUCAGUUUUGUUUUAAGGGCUGUGAGUAGUCAGGUACUGAAUCUACCCUCUUCAGUAUAGGGUACAUGUCAUAUAAUUAUACCUUCCAUUGUGAUGGAAUAAAUAGUGAACAUUUUGAGAGUGGCUGUGUCUACAGAGGGUUUCUCCAAAAUCAAAAUGUAUUUAAUAUCCUUUUCAGAAUAUAAGUAAGACUUGUUUACCUUUUUUCCAUUCUAUCAUAUUUGUUUCAUUCUUUGCAACUCUUAGAGACUGGUAAAGGCUCUUAAUUAUAUAUAUAUAUUUUCAUUGCUUGUGUGCUCUCUCUCUUUUUCUCUUUUAUUUUAGCUGCAGAUGUUUUUAUCUAAAAAAACCUUUACUUUUAGCUUCACCCCUUUUCUUGACUGCUUGAAUAGUUUAUUCUACAAAUACAACCUAAUAAUUUGAUGUAGUAUCUAUGUUUCAUCAAAAAUAUUUCUUGUUAUUAAUUGUCAGGAGGUUUAGUUUAGGUCAUAAAUUGGCACAGUUUCAUGAUUUAAAUUUUUAGAAGUGUUACCUCUUCACUGUAGAAGGUUUAAUUUUUAGGCAUAACAGAGUUAUGAACAAAAAAGAAAAAGUUAUUGUAUUGGUGUGUUAAUACUACUCAAAUACCAUUAUAUGUAGAACCCCACCAAAUCUUACCAAAUAAUGCCCUAUAUAUCUCUUUCUGUAUCUACAUGUCUACAUUUAUCUACCUAGGGUUUAUCUACCAGUAAAUUACUGGGAAUCAAUUAAGCUUUUGAAAAGUAUUUUAAGUAAGAAUUUAUGGUCACAGAAAUAUUGUUAUUAUAUUUCAAACUAGGAAUUUAUAUCUUGGCAAACUUUUACAUGUCUAAUUUGUUCUCCUUGAGUUUUCUUUUUUUUCUUAAGCCAGAGGCACAAAGGAACAGGGUCAUAUCUGUCCAUGCCCUGAAGCAUCAGAUUUUUAUUCAUUAAGAAGAAUAUUUUGUGUCAUACUUUGUUUGUAGUAUCACUAUUUUCCAUUUUUAUCUUGUACUGUAUCUAAAACCUACGUUUCUGCACAAAAAAUACCUAAUGAAAUUUUGGACCUUUUUUGAGGGUUUUGGAACUUCAUUGGCUGGAUUAAAAGUGGGGUUUCUUCGGUGUUUAAAGCCACGUCUAUGAUCCCUGUCUGGGCGCAUUGUUGGAGGAGUUUGG